rnacentral:rRNA from 1 species
UACGUAGGGUGCGAGCGUUAAUCGGAAUUACUGGGCGUAAAGUGUGCGCAGGCGGCCGAGCAAGUCGAGUGUGAAAGCCCCGAGCUUAACUUGGGAACUGCGCUCGAAACUACUUGGCUAGAGGUGUGGCAGAGGGAGGUGGAAUUCCCGGUGUAGUGGUGGAAUGCGUAGAUAUCAGGAAGAACACCCGUGGCGAAGGCGGCUCUCUGGGACGGUACUGACGCUGAGACGCGAAAGCGUGGGGAGCGAACAGG